GGAAGGGGAUGAGAAGCACGGUGGGGGACGUGGCCUACAAGGCAUUGACGGCAGCGCUGGGCGCCGCCACUCUCUACCUUGGGGCAACCUUCUCCGUCAACCUCUACCGUGGCAUCUCUUGGCACUCCGCUCAAUCCGCCAAGUUGGAGAAGGAAAAAUCUGAAGAAUGAAUCAGAUCCGUCUUGUAUAUUUUGAAUAUUUUGAAAGGUAUGGGCGUCAGAUGUGACUGGCUAUCCCGAGUUGAGGUGAUAUUUACAUGAGGCAAACUUGCAGCAUGUUGUACUUCAGGAAUAAGGAUCGGUGAUUUGUGCUUGGAUUUGGUUUUGUAAUUCUUAUCUUAAUUUCUAGUUAGAAGAACUUGAAACAAAA